CAUGAGCAGUGCUGGAAUGAAAUUCUACCUAUAUAUACACAAGAUAUGAUAAGGUUUCUCACAAGCAAGAGCCACAAAGCAGGUUCAAAAAGGAGCCUGGCUAGAGAAAACCAUGCUGCACGUGGAUUGACUACACUCGCUUGGCUGCUUACCUGGCAUCUGCAGAGAACACAGCUAGAUCCCAAGAGAUCAGCUGGCUCACUGGAAACCAAGAAGAAAAAGGGGAAAGAGAACAUGCAGAAGACUUGAAAACUCUGGUAUUCACUUAUAAUUUUGUUAUUAUCAAAGGAUGCUUAAAAAGGAGCAUCUGUGGGAUGUACAAUUUGAAAGAAACUUCAGAGAAAGAGCUUCGAACAACAAACGUAUCUGAACAAUCCAGAGGAAAAUAACAAAGAAAAGGGGAAGACCAUGGAGUGUUCAUCACUGGAGACACAAAACCCCAGGCUUGAUUUUUCUUAAAACAAGUAAACAGAUCUAUCCACGCUCAAAGAAUGGAUUACACAAAUUUGCAUAUAUUUUUUCAAGCCUUAUUUACUAAGAAUAUGAGAAAAUGUGAAUAAAGAAAAUGUGAGGCAUCAAAAAAGAAAGAAUCAAGCUUCAUGGCCCGGUGCAUACAAUAUGUCUGUGAAAGUCCGACUAGAUCAAAGACAAACUUGCUUGCAGCUGGUUUAUAAACAAGGUGCAAAAGCAAUGCUAAACUGCGGAAAUGUGAACAAGUCUUCUGCUUAAAAAAAAAAAAAAAAA